CGGAGGGUGCAAGCGUUAUCCGGAUUCACUGGGUUUAAAAGGUGCGUAGGCGGGCAGUUAAGUCCGUGGUGAAAUCUCUGAGCUUAACUCAGAAACUGCCAUGGAUACUAUCUGUCUUGAAUAUUGUGGAGGUUAGCGGAAUAUGUCAUGUAGCGGUGAAAUGCUUAGAUAUGACAUAGAACACCAAUUGCGAAGGCAGCUAGCUACACAGUUAUUGACGCUGAGGCACGAAAGCGUGGGGAUCAAACAGGAUUAGAUACCCUGGUAGUCCACGCCCUAAACGAUGAUUACUCGACAUCAGCGAUACACUGUUGGUGUCUGAGCGAAAGCAUUAAGUAAUCCACCUGGGAAGUACGACCGCAAGGUUG
rnacentral:rRNA from 1 species